UUCCUCAGCUCUUCUGUCUGUCUUGAAAUCCUGAGGAUCAUGGUGUCAGUCUGAGCUCUGGGAGUCUGGAGAAAUCCCUGCCACACUGUAAAAGAAUUUACAGGAGCAACAAGAGUCUGAACUGUGCUGAAAUAAUCCUGAGAGCAUCACACUCCUCACACUGCAACAGCUGAAAGAGAAAAUUCCUCUGUACCUUCCACAGGCUGGAAACAGUGGCCUCAGAGAUGUCAGAGAGGUGAUUUAGUGCCGGGUUUCUAUGGAAGGUUCCUCCAUUCAGCUGUAAUUUAGAGCCAUUGCUUAAAUCCUUCCGAAAGUUCACUUCUGGGAGCUUCCCUGCUUUGU
rnacentral:lncRNA from 1 species